rnacentral:rRNA from 1 species
AAAGAGUUAAAUAAUUAUAAAAGUUAUUGUAGCAAAACUAUUUUUAAUAAUUAUUUUGAAAUGAAAUGUUAUUCGUUUUUAAUGAUAUUUAGUUUUUUUAGAAAAAAAUUUAAUUUUAAAUUUUAAAUUUUAAAAAUUUUAAUUAUUUAAUUUUUUUAAUUUAUAAAUUUUAUAUUUUAAGGGAUAAGCUUUAAUUUAAAUUUUUAUAAUGUUAAAAAUAAUCUUUUUGAAAAUUUUAUAAUUUAUAUUGUUAAUAAAUUUUAAUUUAUUAUAAAUAAUUUCAUAAAAAAUAAAAUUUAAUUUUUAUUAUUUAAUUUUUUAUAAAAAAAUUAUUUUUAAUUUUUUAAAUUAAAAUAUAAUGAUAAAAUUAGUAUAUUAAUUUAAUAAUAAUUUAAUUAAUAAUUAUUAAUUUAAUUAAUUAAAAUUAAUUCGGCAAAUAUUUAUAUUCACUUGUUUAACAAAAACAUGUCUUUUUGAUUUUAAUUUAAAGUCUAAUCUGCCCACUGAUUUAAUUAUUAAAGGGCUGCAGUAUUUUGACUGUACAAAGGUAGCAUAAUCAUUAGUCUCUUAAUUGGUGACUUGUAUGAAAGAUUGGAUGAGAUAUAUACUGUCUCUUAAUUAAUUUAUAGAAUUUAAUUUUUUAUUUAAAAAGUUAAAAUAAAUUAAAAAGACGAGAAGACCCUUUAGAGUUUUAUAAAUAUGUUUAUUAAAUAAUUAUUUGUUUAAUUAAAAUAAAUUUAUUUUUAUUUAUUUAAUAUUUUUAUAAAUUUAUUUAUUUUGUUGGGGUGAUAAAAAAAUUAAUUAAACUUUUUUUUAUAUUUUACAUAAAUAAGUGAAUAAAUGAUCCAUUUUUAAUGAUUAUAAGAUUAAAUUACCUUAGGGAUAACAGCGUAAUUUUUUUUUUUAGUUCAAAUAAAAAAAAAAGUUUGCGACCUCGAUGUUGGAUUAAGAUAAAAUUUAAAUGCAAAAGUUUAAAAUUUUUG